AAGGUGACGAGUGCUUUCGCAACACAAAGCAGCAUCGUCCACGUAGAUCUAAUGAGACUGCAAGGAAGAAACCAGAGGAGGAAUGCCUUUUCCUUCACUUCCCCCACGCCCUUCGCUUGGUGUGAAGCCACAGGCUCUCUGCACCACAAUUCGCCCCAUUACGCAGAUGCUUGGGAGCAGGAGGGGAUUCCACAAGAAGCCACUUUCCAGCACUUUUAGGGGUUGCUAAUGGACAAGGGGAGUCAGUCCACGCGUUAUAUAUAUUGGCAUUACGGCCAAGAGGGGCCAAUUUCGAUCGUACAACUGCAGACGUCGGACGUUCACACGGGGGAACACGGAUGAAGUCGUUCCAGAACAACAUCGUUUAUGGCAGAAGCUCUACAGUAAGUCGCAAGAGCAGAAGUCCACUGCCAACAGGGCCCUUGAAUUCCUUAAAACAAGAUACAUUAAAUAUAUAUUUCAGUUCGGCCCGAUUGAAGAUUGAUUCUGCUUUGAAAUGUCAUUAAAAUGUUGAAUGUGAAAUAAUUGGAAAGAAGGUAUCUUCAUACAGAUCUCCUGCAUAGUGUCAAAUAUACUUUAUGGAACAAAAAUCUUACUUGAUGGGUUGGGCCUGUAAAAAUAAAACCUUGUGUAAUAAAUGAUCACUACGAUCACUAAAGCUGGUUCCGGCCAAUCAGGCGAAGCGAGAAUGAAAUAUGCUACGGCGAACAAAGGUGGUAACAUGACUACAGUUGGGAUCAGGAACAUGCAAAACGGUGACAAUUUGCGAUCGCUGUGGCAUACAUGUGUGUGUGCAACGAAUGAACUCCUGGCACUUGGUCCAACAAUCUUAUGUAGCCCAGCAAAGAGCAUUUUUGCUUGGAAAGUUUCAUCCAAAGAUGAAAAGUUGUUUGUUGUUGUUUUUUGUCAAUGUCUUUAUGUCUCCAAAGUGUUCUGUAAAUUGACUGUCUGUUGUACUAGAGCGGCUCCAACUACCGGAGACAAAUUCCUUGUGUGUUUUGGACAUACUUGGCAAAUAAAGAUGAUUCUGAUUCUGA